GUAGGGAAUCUUCCACAAUGGACGAAAGUCUGAUGGGGCAACGCCGCGUGAGUGAAGAAGGUUCUCGGAUCGUAAAACUCUGUUGUGAGGGAAGAACAAGUACCGGAGUAACUGCCGGUACCUUGACGGUACCUCAUUAGAAAGCCACGGCUAACUACGUGCCAGCAGCCGCGGUAAUACGUAGGUGGCAAGCGUUGUCCGGAAUCAUUGGGCGUAAAGCGCGCGCAGGCGGUCCCUUCAGUCUGAUGUGAAAGCCCACGGCUCAACCGUGGAGGGUCAUUGGAAACUGGGGGACUUGAGUGCAGAAGAGGAAAGCGGAAUUCCAAGUGUAGCGGUGAAAUGCGUAGAGAUUUGGAGGAACACCAGUGGCGAAGGCGGCUUUCUGGUCUGUAACUGACGCUGAGGCGCGAAAGCGUGGGGAGCAAACAGGAUUAGAAACCCUAGUAGUCC
rnacentral:rRNA from 1 species